GGCAGUUCUUGGGUGACGCACCUCGGGAUCAGGCUCCCUCCUCUCUGGUUCUGAGUGCAUCACCCGAGAACCACA
rfam:Myotis brandtii contig281962, whole genome shotgun sequence.